ACUAUAUAAAGUCAUCAAAACAUUUUAAAUUUGUACAUUGAAAGGUAAAAAACAAAUGGCUGAAACUCUCAAGUUUGUUUAUAUUAUGAUACUUUUUAUUUCUCUUUUCAUCGUUGUAGUCGUUGGUAUAAUAAAGUGCGAAACUGACGAAGAUUGCUAUCGACACUUUCCAAUUGCUGAUCCAAAAACAGUGGUGUGCUUUAGAAAUGAAUGUAAAAAGUUAAGACAGUAAGAUCCUUAGAACGGGAUCAGAUAGUAGUAUCGAGGUGUUUGUUCGUGAGAAUAAAGUGGAGAAUUAUUCUCUCACAUAUGAUGGGGUAUUCAUUAAAGUGUGUUGCAUUAUUUUUAUUUUUAAAUUGAGUUGUAAGGGUUUGAUAUUCUUACAUCAAGUUCGGGUUUAAUAAUAUCGUCUUCACUUAUUUUGUUGGAUUUUGACAAAAUAUUAUUUAUGUUAUUUUGUUAUGAAAUUAA